GCAGGGUUGGCCGAGUGGUCAAGGCGGCUGACUUAAGCUCAUCUGUUCGAAAGAACGCGUGGGUUCGAACCCCACACCCUGCA